rnacentral:lncRNA from 1 species
CAGCAGUCUCCGGCGCUGGCUUCCUCCCCGGGCGACCACGAUGUCCGAGUUUCUCCUCGCCUUACUCACUCUCUCGGGAUUAUUGCCUGUCGCCAAGGUGCUGAGCGUGGAAGCCGACCGAGGAAGAAUGUUUGAAAUUGGACCAGAACAGAUGAACAGAAUGAAGCUUUUCAGUCCUGUGUGCUAGCAAAAUAGAAUGGCACUGGCAGACUGCUGCUAUUGGGCUCUUUCUGAGUGAGUCCCCAUUCUCCAGAAAUUUGACCUCAUGUAGAACUAAGUCCUCAGUGCUUUUGUAUGUGUUUGUGAGGAAUAGGGCCAUUGCUACAAUGAUUGGAAUGAAUACCUGAAUAUAAAUAUAUAGACCCCCAAUUUCUUCUGAGAUAGAAAACUAAAUAAUUAAAAGGAUUAGAAUUUGGUGUCAAUUUAGUUCCAAUAGGGAGAGGGAUAUCUAAGAUAUAAACAGGGUACAUGGAAAAGGAUUGUUACUUUUUCCUAAAACUGAAAUAGUGUCCCAUUGUAUCAUCAUGUCAGCAUCAGAAGUACUAUAUUGGAUAACACAAGUAAAAAUAGUUAUAGACCAACACUUUACCACUAUUACACAUAUUUAACACAACUUUUAAAAGAGCUAAAAAUGCC